rnacentral:rRNA from 1 species
AGAGGGUGCGAGCGUUAAUCGGAAUUACUGGGCGUAAAGCGCACGUAGGUGGAUAUUUAAGUCGGAUGUGAAAGCCCUAGGCUUAACCUGGGAAUUGCAUCCGAUACUGGAUGUCUUGAGUAUGGUAGAGGGUAGUGGAAUUUCCGGUGUAGCGGUGAAAUGCGUAGAUAUCGGAAGGAACACCAGUGGCGAAAGCGGCUAUCUGGACCAAUACUGACACUUAGGUGCGAAAGCGUGGGGAGCAAACAGGAUUAGAUACCCUGGUAGUCCACGCCGUCAACGAUGAGAACUAGCCGUUGGGAGAUUAAUUUCUUUUAGUGGCGAAGCUAACGCGUUAAGUUCUCCGCCUGGGGAGUACGGCCGCAAGGUUA